rnacentral:rRNA from 1 species
CGCAUCUGUGCAUGCAGCAUAUCAAUAAGCGGAGGAAAGGAAACUAACAAGGAUUCCCCUAGUAACGGCGAGUGAAGCGGGAAGAGCUCAAAUUUGAAAUCUUCAAGGUUUUACCUUGACGAAUUGUAGUUUAAAGAAGUGUUUUCUGUUGAAGUUUUGGUAAAAGUUCUUUGGAAUAGGACAUCAUAGAGGGUGAGAAUCCCGUAUUUGACCAUUAUUUUCAGCUGUGUGAUACACUUUCAAAGAGUCGGAUUGUUUGGGAAUGCAGUCCAAAAUGGGUGGUAAAUUUCAUCUAAAGCUAAAUAUUGGCGAGAGACCGAUAGCGAACAAGUACCGUGAGGGAAAGAUGAAAAGAACUUUGAAAAGAGAGUUAAACAGUACGUGAAACUGUCAAAAGGGAAGCGUUUGACACCAGUGUUGUUUUCUCGAAAAUCAAUUAAAAAGAGUUUGAUUUUGUUGUGUAUUGACCUUAACAGCUUGCAUUUCAAUUUUCUUGCUUUUUUAAUGCACUUUUCGUUUAACAAGUCAACAUCAGUUUCUUUUGUUGUAAAAAGGUCAUUGGAAGGUGGCUUUCUUUUCGGAGAAAGUGUUUAUAGCCUUUGACUCCUGCAAUCGGAGAGACUGAGGUCUGCAGCGUAGAUCCUUCGGGGUUAGAUACAUUUGUGCUAAGUUAUAGCUUUUUAUAGACAACUUGUUGACUAUGAUUAGUCUUGUAGCUUACUCGCUUAUGCUAUUUUACCUACGCUUAGGAUGUUGAUGUGAUACUGCGAGCA